AUUGAACGCUGGCGGCAGGCCUAACACAUGCAAGUCGAACGGUAACAGGAAGCAGCUUGCUGCUUUGCUGACGAGUGGCGGACGGGUGAGUAAUGUCUGGGAAACUGCCCGAUGGAGGGGGAUAACUACUGGAAACGGUAGCUAAUACCGCAUAACGUCGCAAGACCAAAGAGGGGGAACUUAGGGCCUCUUGCCAUCGGAUGUGCCCAGAUGGGAUUAGCUAGUAGGUGGGGUAACGGCUCACCUAGGCGACGAUCCCUAGCUGGUCUGAGAGGAUGACCAGCCACACUGGAACUGAGACACGGUCCAGACUCCUACGGGAGGCAGCAGUGGGGAAUAUUGCACAAUGGGCGCAAGCCUGAUGCAGCCAUGCCGCGUGUAUGAAGAAGGCCUUCGGGUUGUAAAGUACUUUCAGCGGGGAGGAAGGGAGUAAAGUUAAUACCUUUGCUCAUUGACGUUACCCGCAGAAGAAGCACCGGCUAACUCCGUG
rnacentral:rRNA from 1 species